AAUGGGCGUUACAACGUAGAAGUGUAUAAAGUUAAAAGAUUAAGUUCUUGAUAGCUCAAUUUUGUAUGACGUAAAACAGCUGAUAAUGAUUCCAAUAUUCAUUUAGUAUAGUACCGUUUUAAGUUAUUCAGUAACCCAGUCUCCGGCGCUUAAAUGGAUUUGCAAGUUAUUUUGUAUGGAAGUUCGGUCCAGUCAAGUCCCAUUUGUCGGUCCUUAAAGAAGACCCAGGAACAAGAUAACGCACAAUUGAUUGUUUUUCUUUCCUCAGAAGCCCAGAUGAAAGGUGUCCGGCAUGACUAAUAGAUGGUGAUAGUUGUUUAUAAAAAAGUGACUGUAUUAGAAAUUAAACAAUCAAUAAAGCAAGAUUAACCCACAAAGCGAUACUGGUGGAUCUUCGACUGAAAGUGUGCGAGAUGGCAAACAUUGUAGGCAUUUCAAAAAGUGUGGCACAUUGUAUAUUAUCGGAAAAUUUGGAUAUGAGAAAGCGGGGUGGAACAUGGGUGCCGCGUUGUUCGCAUUUUAGAAAAAACUGUGUAAUAGAGAAUGUUUCAUUUGAGUGUUGAGGGAAGUUUCAGAGCAGCAAAACAGAUUUUUAAAAAUUUUUAAACUUAUGAAAA
rnacentral:lncRNA from 1 species